UAAGUAGAAGCCAAGAAGGCACCUAUCUGUUAAUUAGGCCUGAGCCCAAGUGGGCCUACUUAU
rnacentral:tRNA from 2 species